ACUUGAUUACUAAAUUCCAAAGCCAAAGAAAAGAGAAGAGAGGCGCAGACACAGGCCACACCCUGCUUCACUAUUUUAAAGAUUUUAGUUUUUCCUGUCUUCUCACUCUUCCCAUUGUUAUUGGUUGCUUUCUACUUUCUCUGAAGUUUCUCUCUCAACAAAGAACAAAACAAGGAAGCACCAAAACCAACAACUACAAGCAAGUACUACUACUACUACUAAUUAAUAACUGGAGCAGUGCUUGUCAAUUGACACAGCACAGCCAAGCCAACCCAAACCCGUCUCUGUUACUACUUUCCUUGACCUGUAACUGGUGGGUGUUUCCUUUUCUCUUUCCUUUCUUUGGAUCUGAAAAAGAAUUCUCUAACUAGGGUUUGUCACAGGUUCCUCUCUAAAUUUAGCAAAAUGCCGCCUGUUUUACUCCACUCAUGAGUGUCUUGGUUUUCUUUUAUGCAGCACUAACCCAGUUCUUCUCUUUGUAUGUUGGUUUAUUCUCUGUAGCUAUCCCUUUUCUUUUCCUGUUUUCUUAGCUUAAAAUGGCAAGAGAGAGGAUUCAGAUAAAAAAGAUCGAUAACGCCACCGCUAGGCAAGUCACGUUUUCAAAACGAAGAAGAGGGCUUUUCAAGAAAGCUGAGGAGCUUUCAGUUCUCUGUGAUGCUGAUGUUGCUCUCAUCAUCUUCUCCUCCACUGGCAAGCUCUUUGAGUUCUCCAGCUCAAGCAUGAAGGAAAUACUGGAAAGGCAUAAUUUGCACUCGAAGAAUCUUGAGAAGCUGGAGCAACCAUCUCUUGAGUUGCAGCUGGUAGAAGACAGCACCUGCUCCAGGUUGAGUAAGGAAGUUGCGGAGAAAAGCCAUCAGCUGAGGCAAAUGAGAGGGGAAGAUCUGCGAGGAUUGGAUAUAGACGAAUUGCUGCAGCUAGAGAAGUCUCUUGAGGCUGGAUUGAGCUGUGUGAUAGAGAAGAAGGGUGAGAAGAUUAUGAACGAGAUCACUGAUCUUCAAAGAAAGGGAAUGCAAUUGAUGGAAGAGAAUGAGAGACUCAAACAGCAAGUAGAUCCCUUCCUCCCAUGCGUGCUGUGUGGUGGAGAUAUCUAAUGGCCGAAAGCAUGUUACAGCUGAUUCAGAGAAUGUUGGUUACGAGGAAGGGCAGUCAUCAGAGUCCGUAACCAAUGUCUGCAACUCAAAUGGCCCUCUACAUGAUUAUGAAAGCUCUGAUACAUCCCUCAAGUUGGGGUUGCCAUUUUCAAACUGAAUGGGAGAUCGCAGGGAGAUUUCUUCACCAGCAAAUGCGGACACAAAUAAUUGCUUGUAUAUAUAAAUAGAACAGGAACAUAACUCAGGCACAUAGUACUUGUGUACCUUGGACAAGUGCGGGGAAACAUUUCUGUUUCCUUUACCGGAUGCUACUCAUGGAGUUUCUCUUAUUGUGUGCACAAGGGUUUGCAGCCCAUUUUGUUGCAUAAGGAAGAAGAACAGAAAAAAACCAAAUGCGCUUAUUGUUUUUGCA